rnacentral:rRNA from 1 species
AUUGAACGCUGGCGGCAUGCUUUACACAUGCAAGUCGAACGGCAGCGCGGGGCAACCUGGCGGCGAGUGGCGAACGGGUGAGUAAUACAUCGGAACGUACCCAGAAGUGGGGGAUAACGUAGCGAAAGUUACGCUAAUACCGCAUACGUUCUACGGAAGAAAGUGGGGGACCUUCGGGCCUCAUGCUUUUGGAGCGGCCGAUGUCUGAUUAGCUAGUUGGUGAGGUAAAGGCUCACCAAGGCGACGAUCAGUAGCUGGUCUGAGAGGACGACCAGCCACCCUGGGACUGAGACACGGCCCAGACUCCUACGGGAGGCAGCAGUGGGGAAUUUUGGACAAUGGGCGCAAGCCUGAUCCAGCAAUGCCGCGUGAGUGAAGAAGGCCUUCGGGUUGUAAAGCUCUUUUGUCAGGGAAGAAACGGCUGAGGAUAAUACCUUCGGCUAAUGACGGUACCUGAAGAAUAAGCACCGGCUAACUACGUG